GAUGAACGCUGGCGGCGUGCCUAAUACAUGCAAGUCGAGCGAAGCGGGGACGGGUGAGUAACACGUGGAUAACCUCCUAUAAGACGGGGAUAACAUCGGGAAACGGGAGCUAAACCGGAUAGUUAUCGAGGGAUCCGCGCUGAAUUAGCUAGUUGGUAAGGUACCGGCCUACCACGGCAGCGAUGCAUAGCCGACCUGAGCGGGUGAUCGGCCACCCUGGAACUGAGACACGGUCCAGACUCCUACGGGAGGCAGCAGUGGGGAAUCUUCCGCAAUGGGCGAAAGCCUUACGGAGCAACGCCGCGUGAGUGAUGACGGUCUUCGGGUCGUAAAGCUCUGUUAUUAGGGAAGCGGUACCUGCUCAGAAAGCCCCGGCUAACUACGUGCCAGCAGCCGCGGUAAUUC
rnacentral:rRNA from 1 species